rnacentral:rRNA from 1 species
GAUGAACGCUGGCGGCGUGCCUAAUACAUGCAAGUAGGACGCAGUUGCGAACGGGUGAGUAAUGCCUAGGAACCUACCUAUUAGAGGGGGAUAACCAUUGGAAACGACAGCUAAUUCCGCAUACUAGUAGAUGGAUCUGAGUUGUAUUAGCUAGUAGGUAGGGUAAUGGCCUACCUAGGCGACGAUAAAUAGCCGACCUGAGAGGAGGAUCGGCCACACUGGGACUGAGACACGGCCCAGACUCGUACGGGAGGCAGCAGUGGGGAAUAUUGGACAAUGGGCGAAAUCCUGAUCCAGCCAUGCCGCGUGUGUGAAGAAGGUCUUCGGAUUGUAAAGCACUUUAGGUUGGGAGGCGUUACCGACAGAAUAAGCACCGGCUAACGUCGUGCCAGCAGCCGCGGUAAUAC